rnacentral:rRNA from 1 species
GAUGAACGCUAGCGGCAGGCCUAACACAUGCAAGUCGAACGGUAACAGAGGGUGCUUGCACCCUGCUGACGAGUGGCGCACGGGUGCGGAACGCGUAUCGAACCUGCCCCCUUCAGGAGAAUAGCCCAGAGAAAUUUGGAUUAAUGCUCCAUGGUAUCCUUAUGUUGCAUAACAUAAUGAUUAAAGAUUUAUCGGAAGGGGAUGGCGAUGCGUAUCAUUAGCUUGUUGGUAAGGUAACGGCUUACCAAGGCAACGAUGAUUAGGGGCCCUGAGAGGGGGAUCCCCCACACUGGUACUGAGACACGGACCAGACUCCUACGGGAGGCAGCAGUGAGGAAUAUUGGACAAUGGCCGCAAGGUUGAUCCAGCCAUGCCGCGUGCGGGAUGACGGCCCUAUGGGUUGUAAACCGCUUUUAUACGGGAAGAAACCUCCCCUCGUGAGGGGAGCUGACGGUACCGUAAGAAUAAGGACCGGCUAACUCCG